rnacentral:rRNA from 1 species
AUUGAACGCUGGCGGCAGGCCUAACACAUGCAAGUCGAACGAGCGGCGGACGGGUGAGUAAUGUAUGGGGAACUGCCUGAUAGAGGGGGAUAACUACUGGAAACGGUGGCUAAUACCGCAUACUAUCGGAUGUGCCCAUAUGGGAUUAGCUAGUAGGUGGGGUAAAGGCUCACCAAGGCGACGAUCCCUAGCUGGUCUGAGAGGAUGAUCAGCCACACUGGGACUGAGACACGGCCCAGACUCCUACGGGAGGCAGCAGUGGGGAAUAUUGCACAAUGGGCGCAAGCCUGAGGCAGCCAUGCCGCGUGUAUGAAGAAGGCCUUAGGGUUGUAAAGUACUUUCAGCGGGGAGGCGUUACCCGCAGAAGAAGCACCGGCUAACUCCGUGCCAGCAGCCGCGGUAAUUC